rnacentral:lncRNA from 1 species
UAACCUGUGCUUCUGCCUUCUUUUGGCCUCACUUUAAGUUUCCUCCCUUGCCUAAGUGGAACCAUCCCCCUUUGCCCAAGUUUCCACUUCCCCCAUUCAAAGGCUUCCACCACCAUUAUCCAAUAAUCCCUCCCAUCUACAAGAAACCUCUUCCGCCACCGUCCCCGGUGUACAAGCCCCCUCCAGUUCCCGUAAACCCACCUGUUCCAAUCUAUAAACCUCCACCAGUUCCAGUCUAUAAACCUCCUCCAGUUCCAGUAAAACCACUUCCUCCACCUGUUCCAAUCUACAAACCUCCACCAGUUGAAAAACCACAUCCUCCACCUGUUCCAGUCUAUAAACCUCCACCAGUUCCAGUAUACAAGAAACCAUGUCCUCCACCAGUUCCAGUCUAUAAAUCUCCUCCGGUUCCAGUAUACAAGAAACCGCAUCCUCCUCCAGUUCCAGUCUAUAAGAAACCACAUCCACCUCCAGUUCCAGUAUACAAGAAACCAUGUCCUCCCCCAGUUCCAGUCUAUAAAUCUCCUCCAGUUCCGGAACCACAUCCUCCGCCAGUUCCAGUCCAUAAGCCUCCUCCAGUUCCGGUAUACAAGAAACGAGUCCCUCCUCCGGUUCCAAUCUACAAGCCCCCUCCAGUUCCUGUAUACAACAAACCACUACCUCCCCCGGUUCCAGUGUAUACGAAGCCACUUCCACCACCUGUUCCAACCUACAAACCAAAACCCCUCCCUCCCAUUCCUUACAAGCCACUCCCUCCACUUCCCAAGAUCCCUCCAUUCCCUAAGAAGCCAUGCCCUCCCCUUCCUAAGCUACCCCCUCUUCCCAAGAUUCCUCCCAAGUAUUUCCACCACCACCCUCCCCUUCCUAAGCUACCUCCUCUCCCUAAGAUUCCUCCCAAGUAUUUCCACCACCAUCCCAAGUUCGGAAAAUGGCCUCCUUUGCCACCCUUUGCUCCCCAUCAUCCUUAAGCUAUCUUGCAUUGUUUUACGCAUUUAAUGAAGGUGGUUAGUGUGAACAAGUUCCCCAGCAGUACCUCAUGCAAUAAAUGUAGCAACAAAAGAAGAAGAAGAAAAUUGUUAAAAUUAAGAGAGGAAUUGUUAAUUUAUUAUUUAUAUGUUUUGUUAAUUACUUUAUGAUAUGAAUGUGUG